AUUGAACGCUGGCGGCAAGCCUAACACAUGCAAGUCGAACGAGUGGCGGACGGGUGAGUAAUGUCUGGGGAACUGCCUGAUGGAGGGGGAUAACUACUGGAAACGGUAGCUAAUACCGCAUACCAUCGGAUGUUCCCAUAUGGGAUUAGCUAGUAGGUGGGGUAAAGGCUCACCUAGGCGACGAUCCCUAGCUGGUCUGAGAGGAUGAUCAGCCACACUGGGACUGAGACACGGCCCAGACUCCGACGGGAGGCAGCAGUGGGGAAUAUUGCACAAUGGGCGCAAGCCUGAUGCAGCCAUGCCGCGUGUAUGAAGAAGGCCUUAGGGUUGUAAAGUACUUUCAGCGGGGAGGCGUUACCCGCAGAAGAAGCACCGGCUAACUCCGUGCCAGCAGCCGCGGUAAUUC
rnacentral:rRNA from 1 species